rnacentral:rRNA from 1 species
UACGGAGGGUGCAAGCGUUAUCCGGAUUCACUGGGUUUAAAGGGUGCGUAGGUGGGCAGGUAAGUCAGUGGUGAAAUCUCCGGGCUUAACUCGGAAACUGCCAUUGAUACUAUCUUUCUUGAAUACCGUGGAGGUCAGCGGAAUAUGUCAUGUAGCGGUGAAAUGCUUAGAUAUGACAUAGAACACCAAUUGCGAAGGCAGCUGGCUACACGAAUACUGACACUGAUGCAUGAAAGCGUGGGGAUCAAACAGG